rnacentral:rRNA from 1 species
AUUGAACGCUGGCGGCAGGCCUAACACAUGCAAGUCGAGCGAGCGGCGGACGGGUGCGUAAUGUAUGGGGACUGCCCGUUAGAGGGGGAUAACUACUGGAAACGGUAGCUAAUACCGCAUACUAUCGGAUACCCCAUAUGGGAUUAGCUAGUCGGGGAGGUAAUGGCUCACCUAGGGGACGAUCCCUAGCUGGUCUGAGAGGACGACCAGCCACACUGGGACUGAGACACGGCCCAGACUCCUACGGAGGCAGCAGUGGGGAAUUUUGGACAAUGGGGGAAAGCCUGAUCCAGCCAUCCCGCGUGAAUGAAGAAGGCCUUCGGGUUGUAAAGUACUUUUGGCAGAGAAGCGGUAUCUGAAGAAUAAGCACCGGCUAACUACGUGCCAGCAGCCGCGGUAAUAC